GACGAACCGUCCAAACGUUAUUCGGAAUUACUGGGCUUAAAGGGUGCGUAGGCGGCGCGGAAAGUUGGGUGUGAAAUCCCUCGGCUCAACCGAGGAACUGCGCCCAAAACUACCGUGCUCGAGGGAGAUAGAGGUGAGCGGAACUUAGGGUGGAGCGGUGAAAUGCGUUGAUAUCCUAAGGAACACCCGUGGCGAAAGCGGCUCACUGGGUCUCUUCUGACGCUGAGGCACGAAAGCUAGGGUAGCGAACGGGG
rnacentral:rRNA from 1 species